UACGGGGGGGGCAAGCGUUGUUCGGAAUUACUGGGCGUAAAGGGUGCGUAGGCGGCUUUCUAAGUUGGAUGUGAAAACUAUGGGCUCAACCCAUAGCCUGCAUCCAAAACUGGAGAGCUUGGGUUCUGGAGGGGAAAGCGGAAUUCCUGGUGUAGUGGUGAAAUGCGUAGAUAUCAGGAGGAACACCGGUGGCGAAGGCGGCUUUCUGGACAGACACCGACGCUGAGGCACGAAAGCUAGGGGAGCAAACAGG
rnacentral:rRNA from 1 species